rnacentral:rRNA from 1 species
UACGUAGGGUGCAAGCGUUGUCCGGAAUUAUUGGGCGUAAAGAGCUUGUAGGCGGUUUGUCGCGUCUGCUGUGAAAUUUCGGGGCUCAACCCCGAACUUGCAGUGGGUACGGGCAGACUAGAGUGUGGUAGGGGAGACUGGAAUUCCUGGUGUAGCGGUGGAAUGCGCAGAUAUCAGGAGGAACACCGAUGGCGAAGGCGGGUCUCUGGGCCGAUACUGACGCUGAGGAGCGAAAGCGUGGGGAGCGAACAGG